AUGAGUAUAGUUUAAUGGUAGAACAUCAUGUUUCCACCAUGAUGGUAUCGGUUCAAAUCCGAUUACUCAUA
rfam:Serendipita vermifera MAFF 305830 unplaced genomic scaffold scaffold_150, whole genome shotgun sequence.